AUACGUAGGGAGCGAGCGUUGUCCGGAAUUACUGGGCGUAAAGGGCGCGUAGGCGGCGCUUCAAGUCGUCUGUCAAAUGGGAGGGCUUAACCCUUUUUCGCAGACGAAACUGGAGAGCUUGAGAAGCAGAGAGGCAAACAGAAUUCCUGGUGUAGCGGUGAAAUGCGUAGAUAUCAGGAAGAAUACCAGUGGCGAAGGCGGUUUGCUGGCUGCAUACUGACGCUGAAGCGCGAAAGCCAGGGGAGCAAACGGGAUUAGAUACCCCGGUAGUCCUGGCAGUAAACGAUGUAUGCUGGGUGUGAGACUAGCGAUAGUUUCGUGCCGAAGUUAACGCGAUAAGCAUACCGCCUGGGGAGUACGGUCGCAAGAUUGAAACUCAAAUGAAUGGGCGGGG
rnacentral:rRNA from 1 species